UCUUUCUCACCUCUGCGUAGUCGCAUUUGGCUUUACCGAUGUGACUUUCAUAAUGAUGAGAGAGAGAAAAGAUCUCAGGAGCACAGAUUGGCCUUACAGUGGCUCCUCUUUGCUUAAGGGGUGGAACAGGU